rnacentral:lncRNA from 1 species
CAAACUUCCACCACCUCCGAUAUCAGGAUCAAAACUUUUCAGUUUCUGGCCACCCCACAAGCAAAACCUUCCACCAGGACCCAAACCAGGGCUGAUCAUAAGAAACCUAAACCUCAUUGGCCAUCUCCCCCACCGGUCCCUCCACAAAGUGUCCCAAAAAUAUGGACAAAUAAUGCAAGCUUCAAUUCGGGUCUAUCCCAAUGGUAGUGGCCUUGUCUUCAGAAAUGGCAAGGCAGUUCUUAAAGACAAAUUAUCACCUCUUUGCCUCUAGGCCUCAGACUGCUGCUGGCAAGUACACUGCUUAUAACUAUUCCAACAUCAUCUGGGCACCUUUCGGUCCAUAUUGGCGUCAGGAGAGUAAAAUCUACCACACAGAGCUGUUCAACUGGAAAAAGCUCGAGUCUUAUGAAUAUAUUGGGGUCGAAGGAAGGUGGGCUUUCAUCUCCCACCUCUAUGCGUUGUCAGGAAAGCCAGUCAUGCUUAAAGACCAUCUCUCUCGCGUUACUCUCGGCGUUAUAAGCAGAAUUGUACUGCGGGAGAAGUAUUCAAUGAGUCUGAAUCCGGGAGGUCAAUAGUGACGGUGGAAGAGUUCCAAGAGAUGCUGGAUGGGUUGUUCUUGCUUAAUGGUGUGUUGAAUAUUAGGGAUUGGAUACCGCGGAUUGCAUUCUUGGACUUGCAGGGGUAUGUGAAGAGGAUGAAGGCUUUGCGCCAUAAAUUUGAUAGGUUUUAUGAUCAUGUGCUUGAGAAACACAGGGCCAGUUGAGAAGCAGAGGACUUUGUGGCUAAGGAUAUGGUGGAUAUGCUUCUGAGAUUGGUCGAUGAUCCUGAUCUUGAGGUUAAGCUCGGUACUGAUGGGGUCAAAGGGCUUACCCUGGUUAAUGUUAUAUGAGUUAGGAACAUAUCCAGCCAUUCAAAUUAGGCCUAUUCUAUUGAAAUCUCAUGAUAAUUUUGCUUGUUUGGUUGUUUCAUGGUCAGGACCUGAUUGCUGGUGGUACAGAUAGCUCAGCUACUACUAUGGAAUGGGCGAUGUCUGAGAUCUUGAGGUAGCCAAGCACAGCUAAUAAGGCAACUGAAGAGCUGGAUAGAGUCACAGGGAGAGAUAGAUGGGGGGAAGAGAAAGACAUCCCCCAACUUCCUUAAUAUAGAUGCAAUUGUGAAGGAGACAAUGAGGCUACACCCUGUCACUAGCUGUCCUGCUAGCACCUCACCUGGCUCUUCAUGAUUGCAAUGUAGCUGGCUGUGAUAUUCGCAGAGGAACCCAAGUCCUUGUAAACGCAUGGAGCAUAGGACCCCAACAUAUGGGAUGCACCGGAGGAAUUUCGACCAGAGAGGUUCCUAGGGAAGGCAAUUGAUGUGAAGGGGCAAAACUUGAGCUGCUGCCAUUUGGUUCAAGGCGGAGGAUGUGUGCUGGAUACAGGCUUGGCCUAAAGAUGAUUCGAUCAAGCUUGACUAACAUGCUGCAUGGAUUCCACUGGAAAUUGCCUUGGGAUAUGAAGACAGAAGAGCUGAACAUGGAGGAAGGUCCCGCUUGUUGCUGUCAUGGAGCCUAGACUUCCAAGUCAUCUUUACUAGUCGUGCCUUAGACCUAUGUUUUCUUAAUCUUAUUCAGGUUUGUGCUGUGGUUUUACUGAGGUUCUGGCGUAAAGCGGUUUCUGAAUAAAUGGUUUGGGAUUUUGGUGACCUGAUCUUAAGCCUAUGGCCUUGAUGGGAACUUUCUUUUUUCGGUUCCUUCUGUGCUUCUCCUCCUUCCUUUAUCUCCUCCUUAUGCAAGUCAUUUUCACUUUGGACUGUGUACAUAAAGGGCCCAAUAGGAAUAUCUUGGUAGUCCUGGAGAGGCUCCAGGGUCUUAACCACAGUGCUCAUUGUUGGUCUAUGCUUUGGCAUGUGGCUCAUGCACCAGUAAGCCAAUGCAGCAGCCUUUUGAGCCCCUGCUUCUGAGUAUUGGCCUUCAACUCUUGGAUCCAUUAUUCUGGUGAGCUUCCUGGAAUAGUUCAGUUGAGGCCUAGCCCAUUCUGCUAGGUUCUUCUCCCUGUUAGGCCUGGUCUUGUCCAUUGAUCUUCUCCCAGUUAGUAGCUUCAAGAGCACCACUCCAAAGCUGUAAACAUCGCUCAUUGCUGUCAAAUGCCCUGCAAACAAGCAAACUUCUUAUUUGUACUCCAAAGGAAUAUGCCCUUAACAUUCAAUCUAGAUUGGAUUAAACCUUACUGAAUUUCCUGUGAUAAUGUACUCUGGAGCAGCUUACCCUUGUGUCCCCAUGACUCGGGUUGAAACAUGCGUGUCAUCGCCUUCAGGGCCGUCUUUUGCUAAACCAAAAUCUUAUAAUUUGGGAGUAUGAUCCUGAAAAAGGUAUCAACAAAAGGUCAGCGAUCAUAAACAAAGCCAACAAUAAUGCUGAAGUGGAUGAAUUAGAACUCGCCACAGGUAACAGUAUGAUCCCCAUUUUAUAGGCAGCAUGAUACCCAUUUUAUAGCUAACAUGGGAAUUCGUGUUGUUAGGAAUUGGAAGGAACACGAAAGAAAAUCAUCAUUAAUAAGAUUCCUUCUAUUAUUAGCCUGUCAAUGAAACUAAGACAUGUUAUAAGAUCAUAGAUUGUUAGCCCUUGGGGGCUGUCUAACUAUGUUUUGAUGAUAACAACAUAAGAUGAAGUGUACUGAGUUGUUUGAAUUAAGAAAAGUUUCAAGUUUUAUUGAAAAUUUCAAAAGAAAGAUAAAGAUUGUCUAAAAAAAGAUUUGAAGGACACGAAAAAAUGAAUCCUUAAAGAUUUAUAAGGUUUAAGAAAUUUUGUAAGAUGAAUCUCUUGCAUGUGUUUAGGAUUAAACUGAUUUUUAUACACUUUUAAUGCAUUCAUUUAGAUUUAGGCGACAUUUGUUUUUUUAACUUUUUACUGAAAGCAAAUUGCUUUCAGAUUUCAAAUUGUUUAUUUCUUCACUUUUUGUUAAUUUAUUAUUUAUUUAAAAAAAAAUUUUAUUGAAUAGAAAAAGAUAAAAUAUUUGAUUUUUUUUUUUAAAGUUAAAAAUAACAUUGGUUUUUGUUUAUUUUUUAAUACUUAAUAAAAAUGAAAUAUUAAAAAACAAACAACUUGAGUGCAAUUGAAAUCCCAUAUCAAUAUUAAGAUCAAUUUUAAUAAUAUUUAUAAUGUCCAUAUAAUUUUAAAACAUAUUUAUACAAUAAAAAAUGGCCUACUAUAUAUAAUAUGUUAGGAAAAGAAAAUUUUUCUCCACAGAAGUCGAGUUUUACAAAAUCCUACCACAAGUCAAUAAAAAAAGAAAAAUGUUUGACGUAAGUUGAGAUUAGAGUUUGAAAUUACAAGUAAUGCAAGUGUAAAGUUUUCAUUAUGCAUGUUUGUGCAAUUUUCCUUAAAUCUUGAAAGUCACGGAUAACAAAAUAUGACCAUAAUCCACCAAUUCAUACACUAAAAAAUAUCUUCUAUAGAGGGAAUAGUCCUGAACCAUAAAAAAUAUAGAGACAGGCCGGCCAUGGGGUGGGUUCAAUUAUUAUUGAGAUCGCUCAUGGGGUGAAACAAUUUUAUUCUAUGCAACUUGAUUAUUGAGAUGGUGAUGGGGAUAAAAGAAGGUCCACCCUUAAUGUCAGGACAAAGAAGCAUGUUGCCCAUGAUUUUCUGAAAAGCUAAACAUAUUCUAAACAGUACUUCUUGCAAGCCCAAAGACACCAAAGUAGUGCAUCAGAAGAGCUUGGAAAGAGGUGUUGGGUGCUAGGUCAAUUUUUCGAAUAGAUCAAAAGAAAGCUAAAGAUUGUCUAAAAAAGAUUUGAAGGACACCAAAGGAUGAAUCCUUAAAGAUUUAUAAGGUCUAAGAAAUUUUGUAAGAUGAAUCUCUUGCGUGUAUUUAAUAUUAAAUUGAUUUUCAUACAUUUUUAAUGUAUUCAUUUAGACUUAGUUGACGCUUGUUUUUUUAACUUUUUGUUGAAAGCAAAUUACUUUUAGAUUUUAAAUCAUUUAUUUCUUAAAUUUUUUUAUUAAAUAGAAAAUAAUAAAAUAUUUGAUUUUUUCUUAAAGUUAAAAAUAAUAUAUUAGUUUUUAUUUACUUUUUAAUACUUAAUAGAAAUGAAAUAUUUAAAAACAAACAACUUGAGUGCAAUUGAAAUCUCGUAUCAAUAUUAAGAUCAAUUUUAAUACCAUUUAUAAUGUCCAUAUAAUUUUAAAACAUAUUUAUACAAUAAAAAAUGGCAUACUAUAUAUAAUAUGUUAGGAAGAGAAAAUUUUUCUCCAUAGAAGUUGAGUUUCACAAAAUCCUACCACAAGUCAAUAAAAAAAGAAAAAUGUUUGACAUAAGUUGGGAUCAGAGUUUGAAAUUAUAAGUGAUGCAAGUGUAAAGUUUUCAUUAUGCAUGUUUGUACAAUUUUCCUUAAAUCUUGAAAGUUACGGAUAACAAAAUAUGACCAUAAGCCAACAAUUCAUGCACUAAAAAAUAUCUUCUAUAGAGGGAAUAGUCUUGAACCAUAAAAAAUAUAGAGACAGGGCGGACAUGGGCUGGGUUCAAUUAUUAUUGAGAUCGCAGAUGGGAUGAAGCAGUUGUAUUCUAUGCAAACUUGAUUAUUGAGAUGGUGAUGGGGAUAAAAGAAGAUCCACCCUUAAUGUCACGACAAAGGCAUAUUCCAAACAAUACUUCUUGCAAGCCCAAAGACACCAAAGUAGUGCAUCAGAAGAACUUGGAAAGAGGUGUUGGGUGCUAGGUCAAUUUUUCGAAUAGAUUGAAGUAAAAUGUUUGUUUAUGAAAAUUUUUUAAAUACGAAUUGAUAAUGUGAAAGGUACAGUAUUGUUUUAUAUUUAAAUUGAAAGUGUCAAUUUUUUGUUUUUUCUGAUCUCCAUGCAUUACAUAACUCCAUCAGAAAUUCCCGGGGUGAGUAAUAGGAUUUGACGAUAGACUUAAAAAGUCAUCUAUAGACACUUUAUACGUAAUCAUUCUAGAUAACACUUGUAUUCUCUGUAUUACCUGAUAUAAAGUUAAUAGAUGCUCAUUCCUAUAUAUAUAAUGAUAUCUCAAAAGAUUUAAUUUUUUAUUAUAUUUAAUUCUUUUUAUUUUUCUUUAUUGAGUUAUCGAAUUGACUUUAUUUAUUAUUCCACUUUUUAAGAACAAGUGAUAUUGAUGUAAAAGGAUCGGGAUAGAAAUGAUAUUUUGAUUAGAAGCAACUUUGGAAUUGAUUAUUUAGGAUUAUUGACUUAAAGACUAAUGUCAUUUAUAACUUCUACAAUUUUUUAUUUAAAUGUUAUUAUUGAGCUAUUUUAAUUAGUUUUGAAUUUAUUGGUAAUGUAUUAAGCUCUGACAUGUGAAAUGAGUCUGGUACCUUUAGCUUUUGCGUUGGAGACUUUCUAUUGGGUAGGCUUGGCCGAAGUCCCACUCUCAAAUCACUACCAUAAAAGUUGUUUCCUUGUUAGGAGAAAUGUCCAAGAAAAUUGCAGACUGAGGCCCCAUGAACGAGAAAGGAGGUCAAUUAUUGAAGCACUCAUUCAUUUAGUUCUGCUGUGCAACUUCUGUUUAUGCAUCAUCUUUAUAUAAAAGGUUUCAUGGGAGGGCCAAGAGGAGAUACAUAUGAUCAGGCAUGAUAAAAGCAUGGUGUUCCCAUACACUUUAACAUGAUAAACAGGGCAAGGAUUAAUGAGCAUUCUUGUAGUCAUAACAUCAAGAAAUAUCCCCCAAUUGAAAGAGACUAAGGUAGUAUUUAGUUUUUUAACUUAAUACUCAAUGUAAUUUACUUUCAAAAUUUUUAAAUAGAAAAAACAAAAAUAUUUAAUAAUAAUAAAAUAAUAAAAAAUAAAUGAUUUAAUAUUUAAUAGUAUUAAGUUAAAUAAAAUUCCAUUUAAAUUUAAGUAAAAAAGCCAAACACGAAAGUAUUAAACUAUAGUAUCCAAUAUUAGCCUUGGCCAUUAGUUGAGAAGGUUGCUGUUCUCCUCCAUGGAUGCAAUGACAGAUUCUUCUGUGUUAAAUUUAUAAAUGUUUUCUCUCUGCUUUUGUGUCAUCUUGGUGGACACUGGAAGAUCAAGCCAUUUAAGUAAGACAUUUUUAUUGGGUUUUGGUGAGUGAAUGAUAUCUCUGAGUGAUACACCUUUUUUAUUUUUAUUUUUAGCUUUUACCUUAUGUUUAAUUCCUCGAAACUAAGAAGGAAAGCAAUUUUUUUUUUAAAUUAUCUUCUCAUAUUAAUUAUUCUAUAUAAAAUAGGAAAAAAAUCAAAUAUAAUUAAAAUUAAUUAAAAAUUUAUAUAUUUUCAAAUUAUUUAAUCUUAUUUGAAAAGAAUUAAAAAAAAAUAAAAUGAAUUGAAAAUAACAUAUAAAAAUAAUUUAUUAAUAUUAAAUAUAUUUUUAUUUUUUAUUUCCUUCCAUUUUUCUUCUUUACUUUCUUUUUCCCUUCCAAUCAAACAUAAUGUUUUAAGUGUUUAAUAAAAUAUUUAAACUCUUGUAAAUGGUUGAAUAGUACUACCAAAAUGUGAUUCACAUGAGUUCAAUAUAUGCUUUCCACCAGCUUAUUUGCUUAUAAAUAGUCCCCCGUUCCUCAAACUUUCACCACCAUUAAUGGAGGCUCCUUCUUGGGUUGUUUUGGCCCUAGCAUGGCUAGCCUCAGUAGCCCUUCUCUCAAAAGUUUUCAGUUUCCGGCCACCCCACAAGCAAAACCUUCCACCAGGUCCCACACCAUGGCCGAUCAUCGGCAACCUAAACCUCAUUGGCCAUCUCCCCCACCGGUCCCUCCACAAACUGUCCCAAAAAUAUGGACAAAUAAUGGAGCUUCGAUUUGGGUCUUUCCCAGUUGUAGUGGCCUCAUCUUCAGAAAUGGCAAAGCAGUUCUUAAAGACAAACGAUCACCUCUUUGCCUCCAGGCCUCACACUGCUGCCGGCAAGUACAUUACUUAUAACUACUCCAACAUCACCUGGGCUCCUUACGGUCCAUACUGGCGCCAAGGGCGUAAAAUCUUCCUCACAGAGCUGUUCAGCUCGAAAAGGCUCGCGUCUUAUGAGUACAUUCGGGUUGAAGAAAGGCAGGCUUUCAUCUCCCGCCUCUACGCAUUGUCAGGAAAGCCAGUCAUGCUUAAAGAACAUCUCUCUCGCGUUACUCUCGGCGUUAUAAGCAGAAUUGUACUGGGGGAGAAGUACUUCAGUGAGUUCGAAUCCGGGAGGUCGAUGUUGACGGUGGAAGAGUGUCAGAAGAUGCUGGGUGAGUUGUUCUUGCUUAAUGGUGUGUUGAAUAUUGGGGAUUGGAUACCGUGGAUUGCAUUCUUGGACUUGCAGGGGUAUGUGAAGAGGAUGAAGGCUUUGCGCGAUAAAUUUGAUAGGUUUUAUGAUCAUGUGCUUGAGAAACACAGGGCCAGAAGAGAAGCAGAGGACUUUGUGGCUAAGGACAUGGUGGAUAUGCUUCUGAGAUUGGCUGAUGAUCCUGAUGUUGAGGUUAAGCUCACUACUGAUGGGAUCAAAGGGUUUACACAGGUUAGUGUUAUUUGAGUUCAUGAACAUAUCCAACCAUUCAAAUUAGGCCUGUUCUAUUGAAACCUCAUGAUAAUUUUGCUUGUUUUGUUGUUUCAUGGUCAGGACCUAAUAGCUGGUGGUACAGAUACCUCAGCUACUACUCUGGAAUGGGCGAUGUCCGAGGUCUUGAGGCAGCCAAACAUAGCUAAAAAGGCAACUGAAGAGCUGGAUAGAGUUAUAGGGAGAGAUAGAUGGGUGGAGGAGAAAGACAUUGCCCAACUUCCUUACAUAGAUGCAAUUGUGAAGGAGACAAUGAGGCUACACCCUAUUGUUGUCCUGCUGGCACCUCACCUGGCUCUUCAAGAUUGCAAUGUAGCUGGCUAUGAUAUUCGCAGAGGAACCCGAGUCCUAGUAAACACAUGGAGCAUAGGGAGGGACCCCAACAUAUGGGAUGCACCCGAGGAAUUUCGACCAGAGAGGUUCCUAGGGAAGGCAAUUGAUGUGAAGGGACAAAGCUUUGAGCUGCUGCCAUUUGGUUCAGGGCGGAGGAUGUGCCCUGGAUACAGCCUUGGCCUAAAGAUGAUUCAAUCGAGCUUGGCUAACAUGUUGCAUGGAUUCCACUGGAAAUUGCCUUGGGAUAUGAAGACAGAAGAGCUGAACAUGGAGGAAGUUUUUGGACUGACAACUCCAAGGAAGGUCCCACUUGUUGCUGUCAUGGAGCCUAGACUCCAAAACCAUCUUUACUAGUCGUGCCUUAGACCUAUGUUUUUGAAGAUGAUCGGAAAAGUGUCCUUCUAGCUCGAUUGCAUGGGCUGGUUUUUAUAUAACAGGGUUGCCUGGCCAUGUGGUAGGCUGGUCAGUCAUUUUCCUGCCUUUUACAAGAAUACAAAAAUGCCUUUUGACUAAUAGGCAAAGGCAGUCAGCUUUCCAUCAAGCGUUUGGUGUGUUAUUAGUUCACCUCGUCAGGUAUUCUUCUUGGAGGGUAGCACGUUGGGGAUGUACUGCUUUUUGGCACCUCCAGUUUUAUUAAUAUUAUUCAGUUGUGUGUAAUGGUUUUGAUCCGUUAAUUGUAUUUCUUCUGUUCUCUAUCCAUGAAUGCAUUAGUGGCUUGCUUAAUUAAUAACAAACCUUUGAAAAAUGAGGUUACUGAUGUUGUCAAAGGAUACACAUAAUUGUAUUUAGACACAUGGCAGAGUGAUCCCUGUAUAAGAAACAAAAUAAGGAAUAUGGGAGUUUAUAGAGAUACGACACCUCGUACACUACUACAUCUCAUCUUCAUCAACCCUAGACCUUUAUCACCUUUUAACAUGUCGGCAUGCUGCAUGCCACUUCUAAUUUUGUUGGUGAAUAAAGCGUAUGUGAUUCUAUUGGAUGAUUAGCUUCUUAUUGUCAAAAAGGCGCAAAAAAUAUCUUACAGUAAGCAAAAAAGAUUAUCGACAGGCUGCCAUGCAUAUCAUAUGCUUAAAACAUUCUUGUCCUUAUUCAAAUUCAGUCACUUUCCUUAAUCUUUCAUCAAUCUAAUUUCUUCCUUAAGUGCUAUUCCAACAACCCUAUCUUAUCUUAAAUUUAGAGACAUUUAUAUAAUUUGAAAUUUUAAAAAGGCUUUUUUUUAAAAAUAAAUAUUUAUAUAAUUUUAAAAUUUUGUGAGAAAACAAAUGAGAUAUUUUCAUUAUUUUGGUCUUUGCAAUCACCCACUAUCUUUAUUUAUUUCCCAUAUUAUAAAAAAUUGAAAAGAUAAAAUAAAGAAAAUAAAUACAGAAAGUCUUCAAAGAACAGAUUACUUUGUUGUACCAUUUAAAAGUAAGAGUCUAACCUUGAUCCAUCUUUAUAUAUGUAAAUUAAAAUUCUAAAUAUAAUUUAGGUGGUGAUAAAUUUUAUUUCAAAUUUAAAAACUUAGGAGUAUUUACAAAUGUUCAUCAUAAAAUAAAAGAAAAAUAAAAGGAAAGUAAAGAGGCAAGAUGGAGAUGGGGAAAAAAAUUAGGGAAAAUAAUAAUAAUAAUAAUAAUAAUAAUAAUAAUAAUAAUAAUAAUAAUUAAAUAGACAUAGGAAAAUAAUUUUUAGAGUUUUAGUUUAAAUAAAUAAUUGAAAAAAAUGGAUUAUAAAUAUAAUUGAUAAUAAGAGUUUUAUAUAAAUUGGCAAUUUCCUAUAGAUGAAAAUAAUAUUACUUAUAUAGAAAAUUAGGAAUUAGAGUAUUAAUAAUUACAUCAAAGAGAAUAAUAUUAAUGCAAAUGGUAUCAAGAACGUCAAAUACUAAUUUUUAAUUUUUGAUAAAUAGCCGAUUGAAAUAAUUAUUCUUUGAACUAUGUUAUGUUAUGUGUGGAUUAAGUUCUUUAUGAUCAAGUAAUGUUUUUAUGAAAUGUAUUAUGAUUUUAAAUUGGGAAUUUCGAUCAUAUGAUUUAUUGAUCAUUGUGUAAGUGGAUUUUAGUUUAUAAUUUAUUAUAAUGACUUUGAAAUUUUGAUUAUUAGUGGUCUUGCUCAAUAGAGUAUAAAUUAUUAACCUUCGUUACCCUUGAUAGGGGGUAGUGAUGCUAUGCAAUCCUAACCAAUAAGAUGCUAUUAACCUUUGGUAUGCUAUUGAUUGAAUGUUGAUGGGGGAACAAAAUGAAGCUACCCAUCUAGUGCAAAUUCCAUUAUUUGGUUAUAGUGUUAUUAUCAGCGAAAUAGAGUAAAAUAUUUAUUUAUAAAAUCAUUUUGAACAUGAACUUCUACUAUUAAGUGUAUUAUAUUGUUUUAUACUUUUUGAAGUGUCAAUUUUUUUUCAAAAAAAAAAUGUAAACUUAAUUAUUAAAUUAAAUGAGUAGAUUUUUCUUAUUGACUUAUUUUUUCUUAUCGUGUUAAAUAUCGAAUUCACUCUUUUUUUAUAAUUCCACUUUUCAAUUACAAGUGAUGCCAAUGAAGAGAGAUUGUAAUAUAAUUAAGAGUGUUUUUAUUAUAAACAGUUUUGAAAUAGAUAUUGUUUAUGAUUAUUAACUUAAGACUAAUUGUAGUUGUAACUUCUAAAAAUUAAAUUUUAUAGAAUCAUUGAAGUCAUCGUUGAGAUAUUUUAAUUAUUUUUGGUUUUGCUAGUCAACUUAAUUUAUGUAUUAAGUUAUUGGAUUUGACAUGUGAAAUGGCUGUGAUGCUCUUAGCCUUCGGGUUCGAGGUAUCAGAGCCAUUGUCAUCACUUCACGGCCUUCCAACUGGGUAGGCUUGCUCGAAGUCACACCCUCAAAUCACUAGCAUGAAAGCUAGCUUUUACCUUGUUAGGUGAACCGGCUUAGGAAACUGUAAACUGAGAUCCAAUCAAUAAGCAAGAAGUUCAAUUAUUGAAGUUCUUAUUCAUUUGAGUGCUCUUCGACUACUUUAUGUAAAAAAUUUCAUGAAAGGGCCAAGAGGAUAUACAUAUGAUCAGGCAUGGAUGAUGCUUGGUGAUCCCAUACAGUACUCUCACGUGAUAUACGGGCCAAGGAUUAACGAGUAUUCUUGUAGUAAUAACGUUAAGAUAUGAACCCUAAUGGAAAUACUAACUAGAACACGCACGAAAGUAUUAAGCUAUGGUAUCCAUUAGCAUUGGCCAUUAGUUGAAGGUUGCAGUCCUCUAUAGAUCUCCAUUAAUGAUUCUUUUGUGUUAAAUUUAUAAAUGUUUUCUCCAUACUUUUGUGUCAUAUUGGUGGACCCUGGAAGAUCCGUCCUUACAACCAGCCAUAUCAGUAAGACAUUUUUAUUGGGUUUCUGGUAAAUAAAUAUUAGCAUAAAUUGGAAGGCGGUGGCUGUCCAUUUCUGCAGUGAUACACCAUUGUCUUUUUUAAGCUUUUAGUAUUUAAUAAAAUAUUCAAGCUUUUGUAAAUGGUUGAAUAACACUAUCAACAUGUGAUUCACAUGAGUUUAAUAUGUGAUUUCAACCAUGGCCAAUCAUGGGCAACCUAAACCUCAUUGGCCAUCUCCCCCACCGGUCCCUCCACAAACUGUCCCAAAAAUAUGGACAAAUAAUGGAGCUUCGAUUUGGGUCUUUCCCAGUUGUAGUGGCCUCAUCUUCAGAAAUGGAAAAGCAAUUCUUAAAGACAAACGAUCACCUCUUUGCCUCCAGGCCUCACACUGCUGCCGGAAAGUACACUAAUUAUAACUACUCCAACAUCACCUGGGCUCCUUACGGUCCAUACUGGCGCCAAGGGCGUAAAAUCUUCCUCACAGAGAUGUUCAGCUCGAAAAGGCUCGAGUCUUAUGAGUACAUUCGGGUUGAAGAAAGGCAGGCUUUCAUCUCCCGCCUCUACGCAUUGUCAGGAAAGCCAGUCAUGCUUAAAGAACAUCUCUCUCGCGUUACUCUCAGCGUUAUAAGCAGAAUUGUACUGGGGGAGAAGUACUUCAGUGAGUUCGAAUCCGGGAGGUCAAUGGUGACGGUGGAAGAGUGUCAGAAGAUGCUGGUUGAGUUGCUCUUGCUUAAUGGUGUGUUGAAUAUUGGGGAUUGGAUACCGUGGAUCGCAUUCUUGGACUUGCAGGGGUAUGUGAAGAGGAUGAAGGCUUUGCGCCAUAAAUUUGAUAGGUUUUAUGAUCAUGUGCUUGAGAAACACAGGGCCAGGAGAGAAGCAGAGGACUUUGUGGCUAGGACAUGGUGGAUAUGCUUCUGAGAUUGGCUGAUGAUCCUGAUAUUGAGGUUAAGCUCACUACUGAUGGGAUCAAAGGGUUUACACAGGUUAGUGUUAUAUGAGUUCAUGAACAUAUCCAACCAUUCAAAUUAGGCCUAUUCUAUUGAAACCUCGUGAUAAUUUUGCUUGUUUUGUUGUUUCAUGGUCAAGACCUAAUAGCUGGUGGUACAGAUACCUCAGCUACUACUCUGGAAUGGGCGAUGUCCGAGGUCUUGAGGCAGCCAAACAUAGCUAACAAGGCAACCGAAGAGCUGGAUAGAGUUAUAGGGAGAAAUAGAUGGGUGGAAGAGAAAGACAUUCCCCAACUUCCUUACAUAGAUGCAAUUGUGAAGGAGACAAUGAGGCUACACCCUGUUGCUGUCCUGCUUGCCCCUCACCUGGCUCUUCAGGACUGCCAUGUAGCUGGCUAUGAUAUUCGCAAAGGAACCCGAGUCCUAAUAAACACAUGGAGCAUAGGGCGGGACCCCAAUCUAUGGGAUGCACCUGAGGAAUUUUUCCCAGAGAGGUUCCUAGGGAAGGCAAUUGAUGUAAAGGGGCAAAACUUUGAGCUACUGCCAUUUGGUUCAGGGCGGAGGAUGUGUCCUGGCUACAGCCUUGCCCUAAAGAUGAUUGGAUCCAGCUUGGCUAACAUGUUGCAUGGAUUCCACUGGAAAUUGCCUGGAGAUAUGAAGCCAGAAGAGCUGAACAUUGAGGAAGUGUUUGGACUGACAACUCCAAGGAAGGUCCCACUUGUUGCUUUCAUGGAGCCUAGACUCCCAAGUCAUCUUUACUAGUCGUGCCUUAGACCUAUGUUUUCUUAAUAUUAUUCAGUUGUGUGCAAUGGUUUUAGUCUGUUAAUUCUAUUUCUCCUGUUCUCUAUCCAUGAAUGCAUUAGUGGCUUGCUCAAUUGAUAACAAACAUUACAAAAAUGAGGUUACGGUUAACAAAAGAUACACCUAAUGCCAAACUUUUCAAUUGUGUCGAUGGUGUAUAUGUCACUAAUGAUCUCAUUUCUUAGGACUUCAUUUUCUUUUCUCAUGUGGGGGAGGCAGCCAUGAAUCAGUCAGUUGCUUCAUUGUUAAUCAAAGAAAAUGAGGCGAAUUUGAAAGAAUUGAUUCAGAUAGCUAAAAUGUUCUCCUCAUAAGUAUUCAUACACUUUAUGCCUAAAAUGUGACCCACUAUGAAAUACAAGACAACCCUCAGUAAAUCUCUAUUCAUAAUAUGAUCUAUAGUUCUACCCACUUUUCUACCCUUCCUGCUUCUGGGAUGUAGGGAGAGUUUGGAUUGUUUAUGAGAUUCUGGCGUAGAGUGGUUUUGAAUAAGUGGUUGGGGAUUUUGGUGAUAUGAUCCUAUGCCUAUGGCCUCGACGGGAACUUUCUUUUUUGGGUUUCUUCUGUGCUUCUCCUUCUUCCUUUGUCUCCUUCUUAUGCAAGUCAUUUUUGCUUUGGACCGUGCACGCAAAGACCCCAACAGGAAUGUCAUGUGGGCCGAAGUGACUUGAGACUAAAUUGAGUUUGUGUCACUUGGUCCAACCCACUUAAGAUCCUAAUUAAUUAAUUAACUCUAAUGUGCUUAAAUAAAUUAACUAACCUAAUUCAGAAAGUAAGUUUAUAAGAUUUAGUGUAAUAUUACAUUUUUACCAGAAUACCUUUAUUGUACACUUAUGAAUUAUAUACCCAAAAUAUCCUUAAAGCAAGUGCCACAAUGAAACAGGAGCUCAAGUGAGGGCCACUUCUGAAGUUGACUCAACUACACUCAAAAUCCAAUUCUGGCUCCCUAAACUCAACUACUUUCAAAAUAUUGGUUCUUCAAAAUCCAAUUCUGAAGUUAGACUCAACAUUCCAUUCCAUUAAAAAAAGUUAACUACACUCUAGUAUCCUAUGAAAUUACAACGAUACAAAGCUUGAGUGUAUGACCUACUAUCUAUUACAUGCAAACUCCUCAUGAAUUGAUAUUUGUAAUAUAACAAAGAAUUUAGGUAAAGUCUCUAGAAAACUUUGAAUGGAAGAGUUUAAGUGUUGAUAAAUUUUAUUUAAAAUCGAAAAAUUAGGGAUAUGUACAAAUGUUUAGACGAGGUUUAUAUUUAAUAAAAAAUAAUAAAUAAAAAUAAAAAGCCUUUAAAGAACUUUGGUAUGAAGAGUUUAGGUGUUUAUAAAUUUUAUUUCAAAUAAAAAAAAUUAGGAAUAUAUACAAAUAUUUAGACGAGAUUCGUAUUGAAUUGAAAAGAGUACAUAAAAGCGGCAAUUAGCUAAAUGGUUAAUAUGGCUUGUUGCGUGUUUGGGUGUUGAAUGGAUGAAACCACAGACAAAUAAAAGGAAAAUAAAGAGGCAUGGUGGAGAGGAGGAAUAAAUUUUGGGGACAAUAAUAUAAUUAAAUAUACACACAAAUAGAUUUUUGAGAGUUUUAGGUUAGAUAAAUAAUUGAAAAAGGUAUAUUAUUAACGUAUUUGGUAAUGGAGUUGUAUACAAAUUGGGAAUUGCCUCCAUAUUAAAAUAAUAUUAAUGCAAGAGUAUUAAGAAUGCUAAAUAAUAAUUUUAGAUAAAUAGCGCAUCAAAAUUUUUUGAACUAUGUUAUGCCAGGUAAGUUCACUGUGGUCACGUGCUUUAAAAAUUCGACUGACUUUUAUUAUAUAAGAGUUAAUAGUGCAAUAAAUCAUUUUGUAAUUCCUAAUCAAUUUGUAAUUAAAGUAUUAAAAUAUUUAAAUUUUCUAAAGUGGAUCAAUUAAUAAUAUUCUUCUAAAAUGCGAUAUGAUUUGUUCUUUGGUUUUUGAAAUAAAUUAAAAAUAUCAUAUGAUUUAUUGAUUAUUAUGUGAGUGGAUUUUAGUUCUCAAUUUAUUAUAUAUAAUGACUUUGAAACUUUGGUUAUUGGUGGCGGAUAAAUUGUUGAUCUUCACUACCUUUGACGAGGGUAGUAAUGUAGUAUAACCCUAACCAGUAAGGAUGUUAUUAGCCUUGGUACACCAUAUAUUAAAAAUCAUUCCCUCCAUCAAUAAAAUGAAUAAAUUGAGGCUAACUACCUUACGUAAGUCUCACUAUUUGGAUAUAGUGAAUCAAAGUAAAAUAUUUAUUUAUGAAAUUAUUUUGAAUACGAACCAAUAAUGCAAGUGUAUUAUAUUAUUUUAUAUUUAAAUUGAAAGUGCCAAUUUUUUUUUUAAAGAAAUAUAUCUCAAAAGAUUUAAUGUUAUAUUAUAUUUUAGCCUCCUUGUUGAACUCUCCUAGAAAACUGUAGAGUGAGAUCGAAUCAAACGAGCAGGAAUUCAAUUAUUAAAAUACUUAUUCAUUAAUAAUGCAAGUGUAUUAUAUUAUUUUAUAUUUAAAUUGAAAGUGCCAAUUUUUUUUUAAAAGAAAUAUAUCUCAAAAGAUUUAAUGUUAUAUUAUAUUUUAGCCUCCUUGUUGAACUCUCCUAGAAAACUGUAGAGUGAGAUCGAAUCAAACGAGCAAGAAUUCAAUUAUUAAAAUACUUAUUCAUUUGGCUGUAUACAAAAAUUUCAUGGAAGGGCAAAGAAGAUGUAGAUAUGAUCAGGCAUGGAUGAUGGUGUUCCCAUACAGUACUCUCACGUGAUGAACGGGGCAAGGAUUAACUAGAACACAAAAGUAUUAAACUAUACAUACAAGAUCCGUUAGGGUUUUGGCCAUUGGCUGAAGAUUGCAGUCCUGUAUAGAUCUCCAUUGAUUCUUUUGUGAUAAAUUUACAAACGUUUUCUCCAUGCUUUUGUGUCAUUUUGGUGGACCCCGGAAGAUCCAUUAUUAAAACCAGCCAUAUCAGUAAGGAAUGAUAAUAUAUUUUGGAAGGUGGGUGUACGUCUAUUUCUGAAGUGAAAAAGGCACCAUUGUUUUUUAAUGUUUAAGCGUUUAAGUUAUGGUUGAUUAAUAUUAACAAAUACGAUUCACAUGAGAGUUGGGACUAAUAUGUGAUUUCCACAAUCUUAUUUGCUUAUAAAUAGUCCCCCAUUCCUCAAACUUACACCACCACCAUCACCACCAAUGGAGGCUCCUUCUUGUGUAGUUUUGGCCCUGGUGUGGCUAGCUGCAGCAGCCCUUCUCUCAAAACUUUUCAGUUUCCGGCCAGCCCACAAGCAAAACCUUCCACCAGGCCCCAAACCAUGGCGGAUCAUCGGCAACCUAAACCUCAUUGGCCAUCUCCCCCACCUGUCCCUCCACAAACUGUCCCAAAAAUAUGGACAAAUAAUGCAGCUUCAAUUCGGGUCCUUCCCAGUUGUAGUGGCCUCGUCUCCAGAAAUGGCAAGGCAGUUCUUAAAGACAAAUGAUCACCUCUUUGCCUCUAGGCCUCAGACUGCUGCUGGCAAGUACACUGCUUAUAACUACUCCAACAUCACCUGGGCACCUUACGGUCCAUGCUGGCGCCAGGGGCGUAAAAUCUUCCACACAGAGCUGUUCAGCUGGAAAAGGCUCGAGUCUUGUGAAUAUAUUCGGGUCGAAGAAAGGCGGGCUUUCGUCUCCCGCCUCUAUGCGUUGUCAGGAAAGCCAGUCAUGCUUAAAGACCAUCUCUCUCGCGUUACUCUCAGCGUUAUAAGCAGAAUUGUACUGGGGGAGAAGUACUUCAAUGAGUCUGAAUCCGGGAGGUCAAUAGUGACGGUGGAAGAGUUCCAGGAGAUGCUGGAUGAGUUGUUCUUGCUUAAUGGUGUGUUGAAUAUUGGGGAUUGGAUACCUUGGAUUGCAUUCUUGGACUUGCAAGGGUAUGUGAAGAGGAUGAAGGCCUUGCGUGAUAAAUUUGAUAGGCUUUUUGAUCAUGUGAUUGAGAAACACAGGGCCAGAAGAGAAGCAGCGGACUUUGUGGCUAAGGAUAUGGUGGAUAUGCUUCUGAGAUUGGCUGAUGAUCCUGAUCUUGAGGUUAAGCUCGGUACUGAUGGGGUCAAAGGGCUUACCCUGGUUAGUGUUAUAUGAGUUAUGAACAUAUCCAGCCAUUCAAAUUAGUAUAUUCUAUUGAAAUCUCAUGAUAAUUUUGCUUGUUUUGUUGUUUCAUGGUCAGGACCUGCUUGCUGGUGGUACAGAUACCUCAGCUACUACUAUGGAAUGGGCAAUGUCUGAGAUCUUGAGGCAGCCAAGCAUAGCUACGAAGGCAACUGAAGAGCUGGAUAGAGUCAUAGGGAGAGACAGAUGGGUGGAAGAGAAAGACAUCCCCCAACUUCCUUACAUAGAUGCAAUUGUGAAGGAGACAAUGAGGCUACACCCUGUUGCUGUCCUGCUUGCCCCUCACCUGGCUCUUCAAGACUGCAAUGUAUCUGGCUAUGAUAUUCGCAAAGGAACCCGAGUCCUAGUAAACGCAUGGAGCAUAGGGAGGGACCCCAACAUAUGGGAUGCACCGGAGGAAUUUCGCCCAGAGAGGUUCCUAGGGAAGGCAAUUGAUGUGAACGGGCAAAACUUUGAGCUACUACCAUUUGGUUCAGGGCGGAGGAUGUGUGUUGGAUACAGGCUUGGCCUAAAGAUGAUUCAAUCAAGCUUGUCUAACAUGUUGCAUGGAUUCCACUGGAAAUUGCCUGGGGAUAUGAAGACAGAAGAGCUGAACAUGGAGGAAGUGUUUGGCCUUACAACUCCAAGGAAGGUCCCACUUGUUGCUGUCAUGGAGCCUAGACUCCCAAGUCAUCUGUAUUAGUCGUGCCUUUCGACCUAUGUUUUCUUGAUAUUUUUCAGUUGUGUGGGAUGUUUUUAAACUGUUAAUUGUAUUUCUCCUGUUCUAUAUCCAUGAAUGCAGUGGCUUCCUCCAUUGAUAACAGACCUUUGAAAAAUGAGGUUACUGAUGUUGUCAAAGGAUACACAUAAUGCCAAACUUUCAAUUAUGACAAUGGUGUAUAUGUCACUAAUGAUCUCAUUUUAUAGGACUUCAUCUUCUUUUCUCAUUUGGGGCAGGCAGCCAUGAGUCAGUCAGUUGCCUCAUCGUUAAUCAAAGAAAAAUGAGGCGAAUUUGAAAGAAUUGAUUCUAAUGACUAAAGUGUUCUUCUCAUAAAUAUUCAUACACUUCAUGCCUAAAAUGUGACACUAUGAAAUCAAGACAAAUCCUCAACAAAUCUCUAUUUACAGUAUGAUCUACAGUUCUACCAGUCAGUCUAACUUCCCCUGCUCCUGGGAUGCAGGGGAGAGUUUGGACUGUUUCUGAGGUUCUGGCGUAGAGCGGUUUCUGAAUAAAUGGUUGGGGAUUUUGGUGAUCUCAUCCUAUGCCUAUGGCCUUGAUGGGAACUUUCUUUUUUGGGUUCCUUCUGUGCUUCUCCUCCUUCCUUCGUCUCCUCCUUAGGCAAGUCAUUUUCGCUUGGGACAGUGUAAACAAAGGUCCCAACUGGAAUUUCAUUGUAGUCCUGGAGAGGCUCCAGGGUCUUAACCACAGUGCUCAUUGUUGGCCUAUGCUUUGGCCUGUGGCUCAGGCACUGGUAAGCCAAUGCAGCAGCGCUCUGAGCCCCUGCUUCUGAGUAUUGACCUUCAAGUCUUGGAUCCAUUAUGCGGGCAAGCUUCCUGGAAUCGUUCAGUUGUGGCCUAGCCCACUCUGCUAGGUUCUGCUCCCUGUUAGGCCGGGUCUUAUCCACUGAUCUUCUCCCAGUUAGUAGCUCUAAGAGCACCACUCCAAAGCUGUAAACAUCGCUCAUUGCUGUCAAAUGCCCUGAAAACAAGCAAACUUAUUAGUACUCCAAAGUAAUAUGCCCUUUUACAUUCAAUCUAGAUUGGAUUAAACCUUACUGAAUUACCUGUCAUAAUGUACUCUGGAGCAGCAUACCCUUGUGUCCCCAUUACUCGGGUUGAAACAUGUGUGUCAUCACCUUCAGGGCCGUCCUUGGCUAGACCAAAAUCUGAUAAUUUGGGAGUAUGAUCCUGAAAAUAGUAUCACCAUAAGGUCAUUGAUCACAAAGAAAGCCAACAACAAUGCUGAAAGUACUCUCAAACAAGGGGGGAGCAGAAGCUUACAGAGUCCAACAAGAUGUUUGAAGCCUUAAAAUCUCGAUAUAUAACAGGUUUCUCCGCUUCAUGGAGGAAAGCUAAACCCUUUGCAGCCCCAAGUGCAAUUUUCAUUCUUGUGGACCAUGGAAGAGAAACAGAGUACCCUGCAGCAGAUGAGCGUUCACAUUUAUUCCUCCAUUUGAGUGUUUGAAAAAGGAGAAAACGAUUUCCCAACGGAAGAAAUUAAGACAAAAAGCAAAGAAUUCUUCUUCCCCAACCACGCAUACCAAACCCCCCAUAUGAGCAAGAAAAAUUCAACAGCUAAGAUUAUUUCUACUGUUAUACACUUUCAUAUGCAAUGAGAACUAAAUAAAUAUCAAAGACUAUGACAUUUUGGAAACCAGAUAUAGAAUUUUCCAAUCUAGAAAAACGAAAAUGGUGGUGGAAAAAUGGAGAGCAUACUUCUGAAGAGCUGAUUCUCCAAGCUUCCUCGCGGCAUGUAUUCGUAUACCAGGAGCCUGUGCUCGUCCUCGCAACAAUACCCGAUCAGCUUGACAAGAUGCGGGUGCCUCAGUUGCCCGAGAAAAAUCACUUCUGUCUGCAAUCAAAGGAAGGAAAAAACACCAUUUCAUCACCAACCCAUUAAGGAAAAUUCAAUACUGGAAAAUAAAAAGAACGAACUUGAACUCACCAGCCAUUCUCGAUGGCCCUGCAAGCCUUCCAAAUCCAAAAGCUUGACAGCCACGGGCUGAGCCUUCAAACCAGGGCGGAGCUUGUCAUCAAUGAAGCCCUUGUGGACGGGGCCGAACCCGCCUUCUCCGAUGAAGUUGUUGGAGGAGAAGUUCUGGCAGAUCACCUUCAGCUCAGUCAGCGUGAACACAUGAAGGUUUGACCCCAUCAGAGAGGUGGACAGAUCCUCAGACAGCGUCGACCCCGGAUUACUCAAAUCCGAUAUCGAAAUCCUCUGAAACGAGGUCUGCUUCGCCACCACUGCCGCCUUCCUCCGCUUGGACGCCAUCUUUUCCGACCCGUAACAUGCCGGGAAAACCGAUCUCCACGUGAUCUUCUUCACUGCCAUCUCUCUCCUGUAUAUUUUCUAUACCACCAGCCUACCUCCUCUCGCCUUUUUCUCAAUCAAAAACUAUCUCAGGAACAAAGAAAAUGGGCCGAUGGAAAUGGGAAUGGGUUCAAUGAUCUAAAUAUGGAGAAGGGGUGGGGGAAUAUUCAAAUCACCACCUGCUCUCUAGACUCUAUACAAGGCGCACACUGAGAAGAGGUUUCCAACUCGUUUCUUUUAUUUUAUGUAUUUAUUUUUUCAUUUUAAUUUCUUCCUCCACGCAGCAUGAAAUCUUCAACAUUUCUAUUUACAUGAUGAUAAUGAAAGUGGUGCGUAGAUUUUUCUUUUUCUCUCUUUCCUUUUUUUUCGUUUUUAAAAUGACGUUAUUGACCUUGAGAGUCUUUGACUUUUUGUUGGUAGACAAAUAGAGACCUGGUUUUUGGGUGUGUUUGGAAACUUUCCAAAGGGCCUUUUAUAUUCAACACGCUUUGGAGGAUUCGAUUGGAGAUGAACAAAAAGUCUUUAUCGAAUAAUAAUUAUUAAUUAUUAUUGUUGGCCUUUUAUUUUCUUUAUACCAUAAGGGAACAAGUGUGUGUGUGUGCGCCCUUUAUAAGUAGUAAUCACCAAAUGUCAAGACAAUGUAUUUUGAUUCAUGACCCUUCAAUCAUAUAUGAUGAGAUAAAAAUAAAAAAUUAAAAUUAAAAUAUAAAAUAAUGAAACUUGAAUACAAUUUAUAAAAAUAUUUGUAAGUUGUAAAAUAAUGAGACUUUUUAAUAUAAUAUUUCACAAUUCUUUAAUGUAUUUCGAUACAAUACAUUGCUGACACGAUAUCAAAAAUCAUUUUUUCAUUAUUAUAUUAAAAAAAUCAUUGCCUAAUAAUCUAAAAACAAUGACAUAUCUUAACUUUCUUUGUAUCCAAUUCUUUGAAAUUUUGAAUUUAUUUUUUAUUUUUAUUUUAUAAAAUAAGAAAUUAGAUUUGUUGGUCAAAAGCUAAUGGGACAAAUUAAAAAUAAAUUAUUUUAUAUAUAUGGAAAAGCACUUUUUCAUAUUAUAUUAAAUAUUUUUAUCAGUUUUAUUUGUAUAAUAAGAUAUGAAAACCAUGGUUAUAAUAUAAUAUACCAAGAAUAUAAUUAGAUUAUAGAAAAAUAAUAAUACAAAUAAUAUGAUAUGAAUAUGAGCGGGCCUGAGAUUUCAAUAUGUUGCCCCACCCCCACCUUCUGAAUUUUUCCUAGUACGAUAAUGCUUUAAAAAAAUGAAAAAGAUAUUUAUUUUCAGACAUAUUUUGAUGGUAAUAAAAAAUGAAAAUAAUAAUAAUAAUCAGAGAAAAAUAGAGAGGGAUAAGAAAUCCAGCUGUUGAUAGAGAUAAGGGCAAUUCCGUCAACAAGGAAUGGCUUGUACUGGCAUGGUUCCGUAUCUUCUAGAAAAACUUCUCCAAUAUAAAACCACACAAUCCAGUAAAAUUACACAACCACCCUCCAAGGUUCACUAGAAUUCCGAAACUGAUCACAGCCGUCCCUUCCACUGACUCCACCAAUCAAGCACAAUUUAGACGAUCCCCGUUCUCCCAUCUCCUUGACCUCAAUAUCACGGUGGGGUCCACAAAGUGGUAGGUGAAGCGUCACCCAAACACCUCGUCAUUAUUGCGUCCAUGUCAGCAAAGAAACUUGGGUACCUGUCCCCAAUCGAGGGGUAUUUUCGUCAAAGUUAGAGUUGGUAGGGUGGGGCCCAUGGCCCUCUUCGUCAUUUCAAUAUGAAAAUAGCGGCGACGGCAUCCACAUUGAAGUGUAAUGCUAAGUCUUAAUAGGACCCGAUCAUUCACCAUUACAGCCGUCUGUAAUUCGUUUUGAAAUGAUAGUUUAUUUUAUUAUUUAAAUUAAAUGUUUUUUUACUAUUUCCAUUUUUCACUUUAUGAUUAAAAUAGUUAAAACUAUCUCCUUUCCUUUACUUUAAAUAUUUAAAAAUAAAUAAAUUACAGCAUGUGGGUUUAAUUUUUCUCAACUCAAUAGGAGUUUAUCAACUUGAUAAAUAAUUUUCGAGAUGUGAAAAAAAAUUAUAGAAAACAACUUAAAGUUUAAAAAAAAAAACGAUUUCAAAACAUUGCGACAAACUCCUAUUAUAAACUCCUAUGGAGUUUACAAUCAAUUGUCUUAUCAUAAUUAUUUUUUACAAUCUUUUAAAACAUUUUGAACAUGUUUAAAAAAUUAUUAAUAAAAGAAAGGGUUUCAAAACUCGUUAUCAGUAAAUAAUAAGCAACACAAACUUCUGUGUUUACCCUAAUACGAGCCAAACGCAAGUCACUCUUAUUGAAGACAGCACGGGAUGUCGUGUUAGCAAUAACACGAAAAAAUUUGUCUUCAACAAAAAAUCUUUUCAAUUAUAGAAAUAAUUUAUAUGUAAAAUCUGUAAAUUAAAAGAAGUCCUGAGAUGAGAAGAUUUUUUUCAUAGCACAAUAAUCGACAUUUUAUAUUUAAUUAAAUUAUUGUCAUCUUAAGAUUGUAAUUUUAAAUAUAUGACAUUAAUUUCAUAUUUAGUUUUAACUUAACUAAAAGUAAGCAUUUUAAACGAGGCCAUUACUGUAUUUUUGGCAUUAUUAGCUCAAAAAAAUGAUGAUACCACAAACAUAUUAUAUUGAUUUUUUAUGAAAUCAAUUUGAGUAGUACCAAAAUAAUGAUAACUGAUUAAGGUUACCAAGACAUGUUCAAGUCAUAGAACAUGAUUGCUAAUAGGGAAGAAGGAUUAAAUUACUAAAAUUCACUUAAUAGCAUCCACUAAUCCUUUAGUGGUGGGCUAAGCCUGGUGAACUCAUGGUCUUAGGGCAGUCAAGAGAAUCCAACCAAUCAAUACAAGGUAGCCAAGUUAGUGGUUAAUUUUCAAAAUAAUCCAAUCCUAACUCAAACCCCAUCUUAUAAUGAAACCGAACUACUCACUAUUUUAUGAUUAAGUCCACUUCCAUUCACCCUCAGUUCAAAUUGGGUUGGCUAACAAUAAUGUUUACCAUUUCUAUAACAACGCACUAUGCACUUUGGCUCCAAGUCUUCGUUGAGUUAGUUUUGAAAUAUUUUCAAAUGAGUUUUCUAACUUUUUAAUUGAAAAUGAUUUUUUGAUAGUUAGUUUUGGAAACAUAUUAUUUUUCCAAACAAAUUUAAAAUGUUUUCAAGUUUUGUUUUUUUCUUUAGAGUGUUCUAAAAACCAAUUAAAAAUAUAAAGAAUGCUUCGAAAACGUUUACAUUAUCCAUAAAUGCAGAGCAUCGUCAUGAAUAACAAGUUGAGAAAACUCUUUUUUGUAUAUAUUUGUAUUUUUAAACAAAAUUUCAUAUUUUGUAAUAACUGAGAAAUGAUUUUAAAAUCAUUCAAAACAUUUUUCAAAAAUUGGAUUUUCAAAUGUCAUCAAACAUAUCCCAAUUAGUUUCUUCACUUUUAUAACGUUUCUUACUAGACUUUCACAAGCAACAAUGGCCGAACGUAUUAAAAAUGAUUAAUUAAUCGUAAAUAUAAAAGUAUUGCUAGGGUUUAUCCAUUGAUUUUUUACCAAUCACACAUGGGUUUGACAACGUAAUCCUCAUUCUCCAAAGGUCAAAAAAAUUAGGAGCAAAUUUGAACAGAUCACAACCAACCUCACCUUCCCUAUGGAAAUUUACCAAACAUUCAAAGAAUCAAAGUUUUUGAAAAAAAAAAGGUUUUCUUAGCUUGGUUGACUCUACUUCUUGAUCAACAAAUGGGGAUAACAUGGAAGAAAAGUCUUGUGCAAGUGUGAAAGACAGCUCAAUUCCAUGUCAACAUUACCAGAUACUUCUAAUGUUAAACUUGGUGUCUUCAACUACUUGAUUGGAAGAUCUGCAUGUGGUUCAUAUACUCAGUGGUAUUUUCAACUCUCUUAAUAAGUCUCUUGGGCUGAAAAAAUCUAAAAAUGUAGGCAUGGAUGCAAGGAACAUAGUAUGUUGAAUCAGCCCAUUAAUUCGCUGUGUAUGGGUCAUUGGUCAAUUUUCCUUUACGCGUACUAGCUCCUUCUAUAGAUGGGUCUUAUCUACACGUACAAGCGUAUUUCAAGUCAUGCAUGGAGUCACGUGAGACCCACGUCAUAUCCAACACCCUUUUCAUCAACUACACCAUAUGUGGAAUAUAUACCAUCAUUUUGAAUGUGUUUAUCCAAAUAAUGUUUCCUUUGAGUAGUAUAUAUGUAAAACCAAGAAUAUCUUAGUAGUAGCAGCUUACGGAAAUUAUAGAGAUAUCAAUGGUUAGAUUUUAUGAAAAUGAGGAUGAAAAUUUGGAGAAAAAAAAAAAGGAUAAAAUAAAAAUUAAUCAGAACUUAUAAAAAUGUUAAAAAAAAUUCAAGAAAUGAUAAAAUAACAAUAAUAUGUAUAUUUAGGUUGUUUUAUUAAAAAAAAAAAAAAUAACAAUAUAUGCAUGUAUGAUCAAAUUCGUGAGAUUGGAUAAUAAUUUGCAGAAUUUAAAAAAUACAUUUAAUACUUAAUUUUAAUGUAUUUAAGGAUAUAAAAGAAAUGAUGAUAAUAUAUACAUUUAUAUAUUUUUUUGUAUUUAAUUACAAUAUAAAAAAUACAAAGAAAAUUUUGUUACUAUUCAUGUUGAAGAUUUUAUUUUAAUUUUAAGAAGCGUUCGAUCGGUCAUUCAAUUGGAAAAGUUACCAGUUUACGGUUCACUGGUCAGAUCGAUAGUCGAACUGUGUCGAACCGGUGAUGUUAUAAAUAUAUAUUUUUUAUAUGUUAUUAAAAUUAAAAAUUUUAAUAAAUAAAAAUAAUAAAUUAUAUCUAAAUUUGAAUAAUAUUUACUAAGGUGGUGUUUGUUUUUUUGGCUUUUUGCUGAAAAUCAUUUAGUUUUAAAAUUUAGGUUGUUUGUUUUUUUACUUUUUCAUGACUUAUUAUAAACUUUUUACUAAAUAGAAAAAGCCAAAAUAUGUGACUUUUUCUAAAUAGAAAAAAUAACACAAUAGUUUUUUUUACUUUUUAAUACUUAAUAGAAAUAAAAUACUACAAAAACAAACAACCUAAUAUUUAAUACUAUUAAGUAUUAAGGUUCUAUUUAGAAUUAAGUAAAAAAACAAACACCACCUAAGUUUUUUUAUAAAGUUUUUUAUCUGUAAAUAUUAAUAAUCCAAUAUUUUCAAUAAAUUUAAAUUUUAAUAUACAAUAAAUAAAAUAAAAAUGAAAAUUUUAAAUAUUAAACCUAUCAUUAUAAUUAUAAUCAACAAAAAAUUAAGAAAUUAAAUAUUAAGAUAUUAAAUAUAAAACAUAAAAUUAAAUUUUAAAAAACAAAAAUGGAAGGAAGGCAAGGCGCAGGCACUAUGUUUUGACUUUUAGGAUAGGAUAGGAGAGGAGCGGGGUGGGAGAAGGGGGGGGGUUUUCCAACGCACGGGUAGGAGCGAUGGCGGGGGUUGGUUUCCAGCGCCUUGCGCCAGUGGGGGGUGGUUUCCAGAGCCUUUGGGAGGGCGUGGUUUCCAGUGUCGGGAGGUGGGGAGCAAGGCAUUCCAGCGCGCGUUGGGGAAGGGGGCGGCGGGGGUGGUUUCCAAUGCCUUUGGGGGGCGAUUUCCAGCGCCAGGGGCAGGACGACACUCCAGACAACAAUGGGAACAGCCACAUGGAUAUUGGAAGGAAAAGAAAAAAAAAAAAAAACCGAACGAUUCGUCCUGUUCAUCAAUCGGACCUCUGGUUUGAUCACUUUCCGAUCUAAUUAUCCAGACCUGACCGAGAUCAGACCUAAUUUAAAACCAUGACAAAAACCUAGUAAAAUCACAAAAAGUCAACUAUUUUCCAUGGGUUGACUUUUCUCUUCCUUUUCCAAAUUUGUGGAUCUCUAAAUCCCAAUAUUUUCUUGGUGAAAUUUUAAUCCAUUGCAAAUAUUAGGUUUUCUUAUUAAUGUUAGUUUUAGAAUUGAAAAUUUUAAGUUCUCAUUGCAAUUUUCUUCGAAGUUAAUUUAAAUUUGUCCUUAAAAAAAAAAAGUUCACAUUACCUUUAUAUUAUCUAUUUUGGUCCAUUAACCAUAAUGACUUUAAAAUUGGUCUUGCCAAAUUCCCAAGGGGGUGUGUGGAAUAUGACAAUCACCGAUAUAUUACAACCAUUCAAAACUUCAUAUGAAUAAAUAGUCUAUUAUCAACAUCGCAUUCAUACACCCUCCUCAUGAUCCAUAGGUUCAUAGAUGGAUAAAUUCUACAUGUUUACUUGCAAUAUGGUAAGUUCUGAUAAAGAUAUUGCUUACUUUAAAUUUAUCAAUCUUAAAUCCACUUACACAUUAGUCUUUUUUUAGUGUUGAAAACUUUCUCCCUCUAGUGAUACGAAUUUAUAUUGGAAUACUAUUCUACAUAGACAUUAUUCAUUUUAGCUCACCAACCAUUUUUUUUUCUAGGUGACAUAGACUAUCAUAUUCAACCUCCCAUAUAAAAAUAACUUCCUCAAAACAUGAAGUUAAUAGGUAAUGUUUCACAUACAUUCUAACUUGGGGAUUGACUUUUAGUAUCAUUGUGAUAAUCCAUAUUAAUAUUGUCGGUUUCGAGUUCCUUUGUAUCUAAAUCAAAUAAUAUUUAUAUAAAGCCAUUACAAUAGUAGUAGAUUUGAUUUUUAACCAAAAAUGUCAUAUGCCAUGACAAGGAUAUUGCCUCUAUACGGGAUAUUGAAUGCGAUAUCAAGUGCCACUCUAUAAGAUAUAUAGAGGCAUUUUAAUGGAACAAUUAGGUUUAGUAGGUCUAGGCCCAUGGGAAUGAUAUUAAUUUGGGGUUUUGGAUUGGAUGAACUUGAGUUGGGUUGAGUUUUAAAAGCAACAAACUAGGCCCAUGGGCUCCAUAAGCCUGGUGUGACCAUAUGAUUGGGCCCAAUCAGAUUGGAAUCUUGGCCAUCACACUCAUUGGCCCCACACCAGAUCCCAAAACCCUCAUCUUUAUUAAAAUGUGACAAGGACCCAUUUGACAUUAAUGUCAUUCAUAGCCCUACAUCAUUGCAAAUGAGGCCUGAACAUUGACACACAUUAGAAUAGAACACCACAAAAAUCAAAUGGCUGUAGGCCAUUCAACCAAAUCUAAUUCUGCAAGGAAAACUAAGUAUGGGGUCAUUACAUUGCUUGGUAUGUAAUAAGGAGUGGGAAUAGACGUCUCAUUCAUUUUCUCUUUUAUUCUUAUAUUUGGAUAAAUGUUAAAAAGAUAGAAAUAAAAUAAAAAAUUAUUCGGAUUUGAAUUCAUCAAAAGCAUGUGGUAUUUUGAUUCAUUAAACUCAUUUAAUAAUAUAAAAUAACCUAAAUUUACUAUUUUACCAUUUUAUCUCAUUCUUCAAGUUCGAUGCUUAUCUUCUUUACAAAACUAGAGACUCAUUCAUCAUCCACUUUUAUGCAAUAAGUGAUUUUCCCAAUCAAUCAAACCUUCUACGAUAUUUAGAAAAAAAAUUUCAAUUUCUAAUUUCUAGGGUUUUUAAUGAAAUUUGAAUUCUUUUAUUUCCUCUUUUGGAAAUAGGAAAAAUAUUUGCUAGCUUUAAGAAUUUAAAUAUUACAAAAAAAACUCUCAAAUUUUAUUUUUUUAAAAUAAAAAUAAAAUAAAAAAUUAAAAUUAUAUAGAAGGAUAUCAUUGUAAAUUUUUUUUUUUCAUUUCUUUUCCUAUUAUUAUCAAACAUUGGAAUGGAAACAAAUAAUCAUUUCAAUCUUGCAUUCCUAAGUUCAUCCAAAUAUUAGAAAUGGAAUCAUCAAAUUAUUUUCCAUGUACUAGAUGUAAAAGUUUUUGUAUGUUAUCUAUCCGGUCAAUUUAGAUUUUUCCUCCCUUAGAAUUUGACCACCCCCCCCCCCCCCCCCCCCCAAGUCCUACAACAAUCCAAAAUCAUUUUGUUUUACAUCAAGAUAUUAGCCACACACUUUUGAAAUACAAAAUCAUUUUGCUUUCUACCAUGGAAAAAGGUUGGCCAAUAAUUAUCAAGAAAGUGCAAUACAAAUAAACACCCUUUUGUCACCCCUUCCAUCAUAUGGUUUGUCCUUUACCUAAUAAUAACAAUAAUGGGGGCCGAACUAGUAUGACUNNNNNNNNNNNNNNNNNNNNNNNNNNNNNNNNNNNNNNNNNNNNNNNNNNNNNNNNNNNNNNNNNNNNNNNNNNNNNNNNNNNNNNNNNNNNNNNNNNNNAAAAAAAUUUCAAUUUUUAAUUUUUGGGGUUUUUAAUAAAAUUUGAAUUUUUUUUUUUCCUUUUUUGGAAAUAGGAAAAAUUUUUGCUAGCUUUAAAAAUUUAAAUAUUCCAAAAAAAACUUUCAAAUUUUUUUUUUUUAAAAAAAAAAUAAAAUAAAAAAUUAAAAUUUUUUAGAGGGAUUCCUUUGAAAAUUUUUUUUUUUCAUUUUUUUUCCUAUUAUUUCCAACCAUGGGAAGGGAAACAAAUAAUCUUUUCAAUUUUGCAUUCCAAAGUUCUUCCAAAUUUUAAAAAGGGAAUCUUCAAAUUUUUUUCCAUGUACUAAAUGUAAAAGUUUUUGUAUGUUAUUUAUCCGGCCAAUUUAGAUUUUUCCCCCCUUAAAAUUUGCCCCCCCCCCCCCCCCCCCCCCCCAAUAAAGAAAAUGAAAAAAAAAAUGAUAACCAAUCAAACUAAUCCACUUGGACUCUUAACCAAUCAAACUAAUCCACUUGGACUCUCACUUUUUUAUUUGAAUUUUUUUAUAUUUAUAUUUAAUUAUUUAAUUAUUUGAAUUUACAAUUCAAAUUUGAAGUUGGAUCAAUACCUAACCGAUACCUAUUCAAUACUUUUAAUAUUUUCCAUGUACUAGAUGUGAAAGUUUUUGUAUGUUAUCUAUCCGGUCAAUCUAGAUUUUUCCUCCCUUAGAAUUUGACAUGAUAUUAACCAACCACACACCAAGUCCUACAACAAUCCAAAAUCAUUUUGUUUUACAUCAAGAUAUUAGCCACACACUUUUGAAAUACAAAAUCAUUUUGCUUUCUACCAUGGAAAAAGGUUGGCCAAUAAUUAUCAAGAAAGUGCAAUACAAAUAAACACCCUUUUGUCACCCCUUCCAUCAUAUGGUUUGUCCUUUACCUAAUAAUAACAAUAAUGGGGGCAGAACUAGUAUGACUGUCCUCUUCCAAAUCACAUAGGGACAGAAUCAUAUAAUAGUUAGGAACACAUGGCUGUUGAAGAGCCCCACCCCUUUUUAUCAUCAAAUGUGUCCACUCAAUUUAUAUAUCAUCAUAUCUUUUUCUUGUAUUUCUAGAAAUAAUUAUUCAUUGGCUCAACUUUUGCAAGUCUUUUUCUUUUGGGGUUAUGGGUCUAGUCUCUUUUGUUAUUGAGAGUAUCUUAUAUUCAUUAUUAUUCAUUGAAAAGAAAAAAAAAAAAAACCUUCUCAAUAGAGGCGGAUCCAAACAAGACCCGAUAUGCCUAAUUUAUACUUCUUACAAGGGAAAUCGAACUCUUCUAGUAAUUGGAUUAAAGUAUAUGUCUAUUGUAGUUCGCAAAUUUUACAUAUCCUUUAAAAGUUGCCAUUUCAACAAAAAAAAGAAGAAGAAGAAUUGUCAAGCUUUAUUUUAUCCUAUUUUUAUUUUUUGUUUGGAGAUUGAAUGCAAAUAAGAAAAAUUGAUAUGAAUUUAUUUGAAAUUCUUAUCAAAUUUAACUCAAAAAUUAAAUGAUUAGAAAAUAAAUUAUUUUAUAUGACAAGGAGAGUAAGGGAUAACAAUAUUCUUAAAAUGUAUCUAUCAUAUAAGUAAAAUAGUCUAAAAAGAAAAAAUAAUGAAAGAUUUUAAUGACUUACUUUAUUGAUUUAUUUAUUAAUAUUUUUGUUUUAUUUUUGUCACCUUUUAAGAAAUUUGUUUAUAAUGACUUUUUUUUUAUUGAAUAAUUCCCACCAAAAUCAAAAAUCAAAUAAGCAAUUUCCCUUUUUUUUAUUAAUAUCUUGGUAUAAUAAAAGGCUGUAUUUUGUUUUUAACAAAAAAAAAAAGUUUUAUUGCUUUUUUUUUCCUUCUAAAAAACAAGAGAGUGAGGUGUACCUGUACCGGCACCAACCGUUAUAACAGUCCAGUGCCGUGGUCGUUACAAACUGAGAAUUCCACGUCAUCAGCUACGUAAGCAAGAAACAAUGGCAUAGGCCCACUAGCAGCCAAUAAAAGAAAGGUAACGCUGUCGAUUCGAUAGUUCACGAACCAAUCUCCUCCUUUAAAGCCCAAUCCAAUCCCCCGACGGCCCAAAAGCUCCGGAAGUAAGAAAAAUGGCUCGGCUCUCCGUCGUCGCCGCCGUCCUGAUCCUGCUCUGCGCCGUCGCUUCCGGGGAGGCUGACCAUCAUUUCCGAUCAAGCUUCGAUGAAGAGAACCCAAUUAGACUGGUAUCGGACAGCAUACGCGACUUGGAAUCGUCCGUCCUCCGGCUGAUCGGGGACACGCGUCACGCUCACUCCUUCGCGAGCUUCGCUCACAGGUUGGUUUUCUCUGUUCUCGGCGGCCGAUCCUUGUGAAUCGGACUUUUGUAGAUAGGAUCUCUCAGUUUUGGUUUUUUAGUUCAACUGACAAAGUGGUCGGGGGUGCACUUUCAGGUAUGGGAAGAGUUACAAGACGGUGGACGAGAUUAAGCUGAGAUUCGAGAUUUUCUCGGAGAAUUUGAAACUCAUCAGAUCCACCAACAGAAAGGGCUUGCCUUAUACUCUAGCUGUUAAUCGUAAGUUUCUUCCUUUUCUUUUUUUUCUUAAGCUGGAUUCAGCCGUCCGAUCGGACGGUUCCGCUGACCUCCGGGCGGUGGGUAGAUGCGAUUGUAGAGAAUAUUGUAUAUUGUUGACCUUUUAGAGCGGUUGGGUUAUAUCCAAUCAUAGCCUGACAUGUUAGCAAAAUUCCUAGGGGAAUUCGCUUUCGAUGGUUACUUUUGUAGAUCAAUUUGAUGUUUGGUUAGUGGAAUUUAAUGUUUGCUUUGUGGGAAAAAGAAAAGUCGAUGAAAAAUUCUGACAGGUGUUGGUUGUUGUUUUGGUGUCCAAAACACUGUCUUUGGCUCUAUUAUCAAUUGACUGUACUGUUUCCUGGAAUUCAAAAUAAUGCAAAACAUGAGAUGCGAGUAGCAUAUUCCAUAGCAAAAAGUAGCUUUGUACGAUUCCAAAUGGACUGGUUGAAUAAGUUCACUCAAUCAUGUGGAUUUUGUUCAGAAGAAUUUUUUACUUUUGAAUCAAACAGAAAGUAGUGUAUGUAGGAAGAUGAAAUGAAUACCCUGAGGUUGAGAGAGUAGCCCACCAUCAAUUUACUUUUCUGCAAAGAAGUAACCCAAUUCUUCUGGUAAUUGUUUGAUACACAGAGUUCGCUGAUUGGACCUGGGAAGAGUUCCGCAGACACAGGUUGGGAGCUGCUCAGAACUGCUCUGCCACCUUGAAGGGCAAUCACAAGCUAACUGACGUUAUCCUUCCUGAGACGGUAAUAGUAGUGAGAAAUUAAUUAGUGUUUAGCAUUUGAUUUUUGAGUUUUAGCGAAAAAUUCUGUUCGGAUGUUCUAGUUCAUGCAAUCAAAUGAUUGAUCAACAUACUCUAGUUUGAGGUGAAAGACCAUUUUAAUAUUAUAAUUUUCUGAAGUUACAAACCCUCAAGGGCAAGCAUAAUAGUACCUUGAAUGUAUAGAACAUCUAUCCCUAUCUGUGAUAGGUUUUAACUUCUGAAUUUAACCAUUGAAGAUUUGUGAUUCAAUUUUAUGUUUGGGAACGGUGUUAAAUGUAAAGGAUAAUUAUCAUAUUUUUGAAAAUUUUAAUUAAAUAAAUAAUUUUCCCAUGUCGAUUUUAGUAUUCCUUAUUCUUCAGAAGACAGAUAAAUUAUGGUGAUAUUCAAAUACUCUUAAAAGUUGCAUUUGACGUUUGAAUCCUGUUUUUAGUAUUUGAGAAGGUCUCAUAAACAGGGCUUAUAUCUUCUGUUUAGCUGAUAAAUUUUUUAUGAGUACAAUCUCAUAAUAGUGUUUCUGUGUUGACAUCUGCAGAAAGAUUGGAGAGAAGAUGGCAUAGUCAGCCCAAUCAAAGAUCAAGGUCACUGUGGAUCUUGCUGGACUUUCAGGUGGGCUUGAGUUAAGAUUAGAAUAUGCAAUUUACUGAGAUAAGGCACUAAACCAUUACUCUGAUCAUGAUCUAAAUCUUGAAUGCUUGUCUACUGCAGCACCACUGGAGCUCUAGAGGCAGCUUACGCUCAGGCAUUUGGGAAGGGGAUCUCUCUGUCUGAGCAGCAGCUUGUGGACUGUGCCGGAGCUUUCAAUAACUUUGGAUGCCACGGGGGAUUGCCAUCCCAAGCUUUUGAGUACAUCAAAUACAAUGGUGGCCUUGAUACUGAGGAAGCAUAUCCUUACACUGGACUAGAUGGCACCUGCAAAUUUUCUUCAGAAAAUAUUGGUGUUCAAGUUCUCGACUCUGUGAAUAUUACCCUGGUAAGUUUCAUGAACAAUUUUCUUCUACUUCUCUUAUUGCAUGUACUUGAUACAAUAAAAUAAGAGAAAUACUCCUGUCUAUGUAGAGCUAGCAGAACUGGAUCCUGAUUUUCCAACAUAUCCGAAUUUCCCAGUUUUUUUCAGGGUUGGAUUUGCCACUGUCACCUUAAUAUUGAUCCAAUCUACUUGAUCAAAUUUAACCUGAAACCCAAACCAUUGCUUACUCCCAAUGCUUCCAUCUUCUUUGUACUGUUCAUUCCUAACUCAGGUGGUGUUUGUUUUUUAGCUGAAUAGAAAAAGCCAAAAUAUUUGACUUUUUCUAUUCAGCUAAAAGUACCUUAUUGAUGUUAACCAACAUCACUAAAAUGAACUUAUUAUCAAUAAAUUUAGUUAAAUUAUAUUGAUCGAUGUAAAUGAAUUACUUUUAGUUGAAUAGAAAAAGUCAAAUAUUUUGGCUUUUUCUAUUCAGUCAAAAAACAAACACCACCUCAGUCUAAUAUAAAACAAGUAGUUUUGCUGAUCAAAUUUCAUCAAUUUCAUUUUUUGCAUUUAGUAACUAGAUCAUCUCAACUUCCCACUCCACCCCAAUAUUGGAAUAGGGUGCAGUCUCAUUUACAUUUACACUAGAAACACAACAGCACUUAACUAAUAGGCCCAUUAUGCAGGAGUUAAAAGUUUUCUUCAGAUGCUCUACCCUUCUGUCUUCUAAUUUAAAAGAUGAAUGCAGGGUGCUGAAGAUGAGUUAAAGCAUGCAGUUGCAUUUGUUCGUCCAGUGAGUGUGGCAUUUGAGGUGGUCCAUGAUUUCCGAUUUUACAAGAAAGGAGUUUACACAAGUGGAACUUGUGGCAGCACUCCCAUGGUGAGUUUUUCUCAUUGGAAAUAUGAUAUUUUCUAUACCCUAUCGGGUGAACAUCCCCAAAACAUUGUGUUUAUCAAAUAGGAAAAGUUUGGUAGAUUUUAAUUGAGAUUCAUGAAGCAUUCAUUUCUAAAGCAAGAACAAUACUAAGAGCCUUAUAUAGAUUUCUAGAAAGUAAGUAAUUCAAAGUAGUUGUAGGUUUGAGCGGCAUCUCAUGGUCACCUCAUUUUUUCAAUCUGUUUGUUUUGUGUUGUAUCAAAAUGUAUGCACAUGAAGACGUAUCACCCAAUCAUGGGUACUUAUACAUGUUCUUUGACAUCAGACCCUCUGUGCCCUAUAGAGAGAGAUGAUGUGGUAUCGUUCUUUCAGACAUUAAUGGAUUUUAUUUGGCAGGAUGUGAACCAUGCUGUUCUUGCAGUCGGGUAUGGAGUUGAAGAUGGUGUAGCAUACUGGCUCAUCAAGAACUCAUGGGGAGAAAACUGGGGCGACAAUGGCUACUUCAAAAUGGAGUUGGGCAAGAAUAUGUGUGGUAAGUUUCCACGCGUAGACUAGACUGUUUAAUGCUUUCAAAUGAUUGCUUCUUAGCAUCCUUGAAGGUUAAUUAAGCCAUCCAUAAAGUUAGAACCUGAAACUGAAA